GGUGGCUCAGUGGUAGAGUGUUUGCCUUGUAUGCAUGAGGCCCUGGGUUUGAUUCUCUGUACCA
rnacentral:tRNA from 1 species